GACACCGAUCCCGAUUUCCAAUCCAAUGCUUGGCUUUCAGCCCUGCAAUUAAACGGAUCUGCCACUCCUCUGGGCGCAAUCACUCACCAUCAUGAAAGAGUAGAUCACGUCAUCGGUGUUAUCAAAUCCUGCAAUCCCAAUGGGUUUGGAGAUGCAACAGUUACACUCAAGGACCCUACGGGCACUGUUGGCGCUAGUAUCCAUCACAAGGUCUUCACUGAAAGCGUAUUUGCGAAAGACAUAACUGUUGGAUCUGUUCUGCUUCUCCAAAAGGUCGCUGUGUUCUCUCCUAG